ACUUUUUCCUCUCAAGCUGCACCUCUUGGCAUACACUCCCCAUUUUGUUAUUUUUUUUUUCACGUUCAUGCGCGCCUCAUUUUAUAAACCCUUCCGUUUUGAUCUCUCAGAAACCUUAAUCAGAGUUGGCUCCAGCAAUUUUUAUUGCCGAUGUUAUAAAACCCAGAUUUCAUUUUCGAGAACCCAUUCUGCUAAACUCACCCCCGACGAUUCUCAGCUUCUUCACUGUCUUUGUCAAAGUCGGUGUCAAGACGCACGUAAGCUGCUUGAGAAAUUGCCUGAGAGAAGCAGCCAUGGCCGCAUUGUUCACUGGACUUGUUUGCUCACGAAAUACUCGAGAAGUGGCUGGGUCGAUGAGGCACGGAUGCUCUUUGAUAUCAUGCCCGAGAAGAACAUUGUUUCUUACAAUGCAAUGUUGUCUGGGUAUGUGCAAUCUGGGAGGUUGAAUGAGGGCUGGCGAUUCUUUUAUGAGAUGCCAGAGAGAAACGUUGUUUCCUGGACUUCAAUGCUCUGUGGGUUUGCGGAUGCGGGGAGGAUUGGCGAGGCGAGGCAGUUGUUUGACGCGAUGCCAGAGAGGAACGUUUUUUCUUGGAAUUCGAUGAUUGCUGGGUUGAUUAAGAAUGGGGAUUUGGAGGGAGCAGGGCAGGUUUUUGACCAAAUGCCGACGAAGAAUGUUGUUUCUUGGAAUGCUAUGAUUUCUGGGUAUGCUGAGAAUUGUAGAAUGGACGAAGCAAGAGUUUUGUUUGAUGAGAUGCUCGAUAGGAAUGUGAUUACUUGGACUAGCAUGAUAUCCGGUUACUGUCGGUCUGGCCAUGUGGAUGAGGGAUACUCUUUGUUUCAAAAAAUGCCUGAGAGGAAUGUUGUUUCUUGGACAGCCAUGAUUGGCGGCUUUUCUUGGAAUGGCUUCUAUAAAGAAGCUCUGUCGCUAUUUCUUGAACUUAAGGGGAACUACGACACAAAACCAAACGGAGAGACCUUCAUAUCGCUUGUUUAUGCUUGUGCGGGUAUUGGUUUGCCUCAUCUUGUCAAGCAACUACAUGCUCAGUUGAUUGUCGAUGGUUGGGACCACGAUGAUUAUGAUGGCAGAUUAUCAAAGAGCCUCAUUCACAUGUACUCGGCCUAUGGUAUCAUGGAUUCCGCGUGCUUUCUUUUCAUCAAGAACUCAAGUAACUGUACUGCGCAGUCUUGUAAUUCUAUGAUUAACGGUUACAUACAGAUUGGGCAGCUAGAACAGGCACAAAUUUGCUUUGACAAUGCACCCAUCCGAGACAAGAUCUCUUGGACGUCUAUGAUAACUGGGUAUUUUAGCGUUGGACAAGUAUCAAAGGCUUGUAAUAUGUUUCAAAUCAUGCCAGAUAAGGAUGCAAUUGCAUGGACAGUGAUGAUUUCGGGGCACAUCCAAAAUGAGCUUUUUGCUGAAGCUACCAAUUUGUUUUCAGAAAUGAGGUCAGAAGGUGUUUUGCCUCUCAGUUCAACAUAUUCAGUUCUUCUUGGAGCUGCAGGUGCAAUGGCAUAUCUUGAUUCUGGGAAACAGUUCCACAGCCUGCUGAUCAAAACACAGUAUGAAUUUGACUUGUUUAUUAACAACGCACUGAUUUCCAUGUAUGCCAAAUGUGGGGAGCUAGAUGAUGCUUACCGUACAUUCUCAAACAUGUGUUUCCGGGAUUUGAUUUCUUGGAAUUCCAUGAUUAUGGGGUUUUCAGACCACGGACAGGCAAAUGAGACUCUGAAGAUCUUUGGAGCCAUGGUCAAAUCUACAAUCCGACCAAAUUCGGUCACUUUUUUGGGCAUCCUAUCAGCAUGUAGCCAUGCAGGGCUUGUCCAGAGAGGGUGGGAUUUUUUCCAUGCCAUGAGCAAUGUUUAUGCAAUUCAACCAGCUUUGGAGCAUUACAUUUGUAUGAUUAAUCUUCUGGGAAGAGCUGGGAAAGUAAAAGAAGCAGGAGAAUUUGUUUCAAGGCUUCCCUUCAAACCAGAUCGCACUGUUUGGGGUGCAUUGCUUGGUAUAUGCGGAUUUGGUGAAACGAAUGCUGAUGUUGCUAGAUAUGCAGCCAAAAAUCUCCUAGAGCUGGAUCCUUUAAAUGCACCAGCCCAUGUGGUGCUUUGCAACAUAUAUGCAGCAAAUGGUCAGCAUAUUGAGGAAAGACAGCUGAGAAGGGAGAUGGGAUUCAAAGGAGUGAGAAAGGUUCCUGGAUGCAGUUGGAUUCUGGUGCAAGGGAAAGUUAAUGUAUUCCUCUCAGGCGAUAAACUCCAUCCCGAAGUGGAUGAGAUGCUAUCCCUUGUAUUUGGCACUAUUAUUUUGUUUUUGCAGGGAAAAGGUCCAAUAUCCACAUAGGAGGGAACUUUGAGGAAUAUUGGAGCAGCCAAUUAUGUCACCCAAUACCUUAAAAGGUUCCUCAAAGUUGCUUUCAGGAUUUAGGCUGUUAAUUACCGUCUGUACUCAAUAUCAAUGACACCAAGUGACAGCAGAGAAGCAGCUGCUUCAGUGCUUUGAGCCAUCCGGCCAAACGCUUGCUUACUCAUGAUGAAGUCUGUGCCAUCACUCGAGCCUUGGUCAGUUAUAACUACAGUUACUCCUUUGUCUGUGCAAUAGGCACUAUUGGUGCACCUCACCUAGGGAACCAUCAAGAAAAUUAAUUAUGAUCACAAAAAUUGAACACGCGUUUGCGCACACACACACACAUCUUACAAUCGUGCAUGCUCACCUGGUAACAAGCUCCACAUCCGAGGCCACUGCGAUAGAGGUCAGAGGCAGCUGAGACAUCCCCGCCAUUGAGUGUUGCUCCAAAUGAACCAAAUCCACAUGCACCACCUGCAGUUCGAUACAAGAAAAUAUCUAAAUUCGGAUAAUAAGUUGCUCGAGAGUGAAUGAAGCAGUCACUGCACGUUGCAGCCUCGCUCGGAGAUUGCAGUAAAAGCAAAACAAUGAGAAGGGAGAGUACUUGAGACCCAAGAGAGAAAGCCAUUAGCAAAAUAGAGAAAGGAGAGCUUGCUAAUGAUCAAUAUUAUUGCAAAGGUGGUAUUGCAAUAUUGCACGAACCUAUAGCUAAAUGUUUACUCGUAUUUAUAGUAAACUGUAAAGGCCAUCUUCAAAUUUGGUAAGCUUUACUAACUUUGACAUUCUGCUCUGCCCAAGAAUAUUUGUUUUGCUUUUUUUUUUUUUUUGAAUAGAAACGCUAAGGAGAAUCUCUCAAAGCGAGACUCUCCGUGAACUCUCUGUUACCUCGCGAUUUAAUGUUAAUUUCCAUACCAACAU